rnacentral:rRNA from 1 species
AACGCUAGCGGCAGGCUUAACACAUGCAAGUCGAGGGGCAGCACGGGUAGCAAUACCUGGUGGCGACCGGCGCAAGGGUGCGUAACGCGUGAGCAACAUGCCCUAUACAGGGGGAUAAUCCAGGGAAACUUGGUCUAAUAUCCCAUAGUAUUUAGAGGAGGCAUCUUCUAUAAAUUAAAGCUUCGGUGGUAUAGGAUUGGCUCGCGUGACAUUAGCUAGAUGGUGAGGUAACGGCUCACCAUGGCAAUGAUGUCUAGGGGUUCUGAGAGGAAGGCCCCCCACACUGGGACUGAGACACGGCCCAGACUCCUACGGGAGGCAGCAGUGAGGAAUAUUGGACAAUGGAUGGAAAUCUGAUCCAGCCAUGCCGCGUGCAGGAAGACAGCCCUAUGGGUUGUAAACUGCUUUUAUAUGGGAGCAAUAAGGUCUACGUGUAGACUGAUGAGGGUACCAUAUGAAUAAGCAUCGGCUAACUCCGUG